AUGGCAGAUCCAGGCUCUCAGCCUCCAGCUGAAACUUCCAGUCCUCCCCCAGCCAGAAGCUCUGACGCUGGGCUGAGAGACUUUGAUCCUUCCCUGGAUCCAGAAAUCCAGGAGGGAGAAGGAGAACAGGACCUCCUUCCUGAUCUGGAGAGGCCUGAGGGAAAGAAAGAUGGAGCAGACAGAGCUUUGAACAAACCUCCUGAGCUUCACCUCCACAAAGGUGUGACAGGUGAAGGACACCGGCGAAUAGGAGGACAGAACCUGAGAGCCAUUAGUCACAUGACUUCAGCUGCUGCCGCCUCACCAACCACUGGCCCCUCGGUGAGUCUAGAGUUACAGCAGUGACCACAGGAAGUGCACACGUGUGAUCUAAAGCUACAUGUGGGCCUGUGACGAUCAGUCUUCUCACUGUGGUCGACGGGUUUGUGAGUCCCUGUGAUGCUGGGAGUGUCCAGGACAGUCGCUCCUGAUCAGGUCUCUCAUGGAAAGCUGGAAAUUCCUGGAAAAUUCCUCCACCAAUGAGAACUGGGAACAGAACUGCAGAGUGACAGAGGUGCUCAGCAACCCUGCUGUUAUAUGGGAACAUAACCAGAAUAGUCGGCAACCACUUGAGUUAAGUUAGCCAAAGAGAUGCAACUCAGACUGACUUCAUCAGGUUGGCAACGUGUCUGCAUCAAUAAAUUCCAGUUAUUCACAAAUCAGAGAAUAAUUACAGUCAUUCAGAGUCAGAUUGUGAUUGUUUGGAGGAUGUAAUCGUUCCCUUCAGGGAGCGUGUUGGACGUUCAGUGUCCGGGUGAUUAGCUGGCUGAUGCAACUACUUAGAAUCAGUUUGUGAAUGUGAAGAAAAUCAGUGCAGUCACUGGACAAACUCUGAUUCUUCCUAGUUUCACUCUUGUUUCAGUCCAGUGUGACUGAGGUGGUAAAAGAUGAUGGGAGGAGGUGAUCUGACUUUUAGCCACACAGCUGUCUGCUAGAGAAAAAGCCUUUGUGCACAACUUUCUUAAAGGCAAACGGCACCAUGUUCACUGCAGCUGCAGCAAAUGCAGCACAGAGUGAAAGUUGGACUGAGAAUGUUGUGACUGUUUCACGAGAAAGAGCAGGAAAACAACCAUCACACACCCAGACACAGUGCUGGGAUUAGACUUUAGAGCCAAAUGUAGGACAAAAGCUUUAAUAUGAAAGAGGAAAACCCAACAACAGCCAGAGCAUGAAGCUCAAAACUGUACCAAUCACCAAGAAAGCUGACAGGCCUGUGACACAUCAGAGACGCCGUUCAAAUCAUAAAGAAGUUGGUUUAUUGACAACAUGUAAAAAACCUAAAUAAUCAAGUCAACCUUCAGUUUAGAGCGAGUAGACCAAUCAGGCACAGCAACAGCUCUAGAAUAAGCAACAGUUUUAUGCAUUACAAACAACCUUUCAUAUACACACAUACAUAUGACUCAUAUGCUGUUUAAAAAGGGCUCAAAGACCCAACAGAUUACACAAAGUAUAAAAAUACUUUCAUUCAGACAACAGUCAGCUGUGCAUGAGACAGAGAGCCAACUACAGUUAGUAACAUGGACUCACUUUGUUUCAGACACGACACAAAGUAACACAAAGCCAUCAUCAAAAAGGAGGCAGAGCAGCGGCAACUCUCCAUGAGCUGUGAGGCUAACAGCCACCCACACUUCCUGUGAUGCACAAUGAAAACAACAUUAACCUGAAAGAUGAUAACAACAGAAAUAAGUCUAAGCUAACGUUACACAGCGCUCACACAGCGCUGACUGUACAGGCCUCACCUGCCUGCAUCCACAACACCUGAUUCUACUGGACACAAACCAGUUAAUGAUAUCUGAGCAAUCCAGGGAAGGCUUCCAGGAACGUGAGGAUCCACAGACAGCUCUACAACAGAAUCAGUCAGCAACAAUGUUACUAAUCACUAACUGUUUCAUCCUCUUAUACUCAAUCAAAAAGUGCUGUGUUCACAUUUGUUUCUGCUGAAAUCCAGAGACUGAAAAUGCAUCUUUUUAAAGCUUGAAUAAACUGACUGAACUUCUCACGAGUCCAACCGUGAGGAACACUUCCCCCCAUGACACAUCACAGGAGAACGUGGCGACUCAGUGGAGGGGGGACAGUAGCUCAGUUUAGGCAGUCACACUCAGAAUCGAUGCCUCCAGUCAGGGUCAAACGUGGUCCUCAGAAACCUGCAGAUGUUUGGCUUUCACUGGUCUCUGCGUCUGUAGACUGAGCUGAUGUUUCUCCAGGUGUCUGGUAAAAGGACAAUGCUGCUGUCCAAUGAGGCGAGGAGAGAAGUAGCCAAACAGGCGAGAGCCGUGAAGGAGGAACGGCGGGCAGCUCUGGAUGCCCGACAUAAAUACCUGAUGAGCAGGCUGGCAGACGCUGGCAGCCUGGAGGAGGCGGCGGUGGAAGACGCCAUCGUCUCUGAUGACAGAGUAAGUUCAGAGACGUGAUCCUUCCUCAGAGUUGAACCUUUGAGUCAUUAAUGUCUGAUUCUUCCAGUUCAGUCUGAUCCAUGAAUUCUUUGCUGCAAACGGAUCCAAGAAGCUGAUUUUCUUCUAUCAGGAUGUCAAACAGGUAACUUUGAUCACAUUUAAAUGACACAUGAAGGUCUAACCGCUCUUCAUGAUCUGCUGUUUGUUGUACCGUACUUUGUAUUCAUAUCUUUUAAUAUCUGCCUUUCUCCCAGAGUCUGUCCUCCCAUCAGUCUUCCUCUGUGGACGCAUCAAACUCAGCUGUGGCUCAGAGGAAACUCUUCCUCACUACGGGGAACUCUGAGGUUGGCUUUGACUUUUCUUUAAGUUAAUGUGAGUCUAAUGUGAGAAUAAGAAAUAAAUGUUGAUAUGAGUGGAAGGUUCUGCUGAUAAAAUAGCAACGAGGAGAUUAUUGAACAGAGAGGCAGACAGUUGGUUUCAGUAAUGCCAGUUUAUUAGAAACGAGGACUGUGGGGCUGCUGGAAGUAAGGACGGCCGUUCUCUGGAUAAACCUGACAGCUGAGGUGGAGAGCAGGAUUUAUCCACAGACGGCUUCUUCCAAGCAAAUGUCCUGAACUCACCUGAGCUGAGUGUUACACAGAAACUGUCUUAAAGCACGAGCCUGGAUCAGACUGGAGGACUCAGAGCUCAGGUGUGUGAUGUCACCUUGAUCCGCCUCUCGGGGGGUUUUGUGUUCUGAUGUAUCUGAUUUCUCUUUAAGCUCCAAACAAUCCUGAGCCUACAAUUCAUCAUUGUCCUGUUCAGAGAUGAUGAGCCUGAGCGUGUUUGUGUUUCCAUGGAUCAAACUGUGCUGCUUUGUUUGGUUAACGAGGUGAUUAAAGUCUCUGAGCAAACACUGGAUGACUGACAGCUGCAGGCUGAACAUCAGGAGGUCGAGAGGCCGAAGUCUGAGGAGCUCAAAGCUCCACAAACACUUAUUCACAGAGAAAAGGACUACAAACAUGGUGGAGCAGCAAUCUGAACAUGAGCUAAAGGCUGCAUGCUAAUAACAUUUCCCCUGGAUGUGGUUUUAACAGGAACAUGAAUGAUGAAGUAUUUAAAGUCAGUUCCAGCCUGAGUCGGUGCCGUGUUGGCAGCUCUGAUAUGCAGAAACUUUCAAACAUGGGACAGGAAUAAAAACACGCCUGUGACGUCAGAGUUUAUGAAUGAUGACAAAUUGUUUGUUUUUAGAAACUUUGUUGAUGCUUAAAAUGAUCAGGAAAUAAAAGCUGAAUAGAUCCACGUCAAACAGGAGAAGCUUUCCAGUUUGCAUCAGCUGGGAAACUCGCUCAUACCCAGUGUUGGGCAAGUUACUUUCAAAUAGUCAUUAAAAAUUAAUUAUAGUUGCUAAUUACUUAUUCAAAAAAGUAACUUAGUUAGUAACUGAGUGACAAGGUUCUAGAUGUAAUUAAUUACUUGAAAAGUAACUAUUGUGUUACUUUAAAAAAUACCCUCUGGGCUCCAGGGUCUAAGUCUAACUCCUUUUGUCAUGGUCCGGGGUCAUGUCAUGGUCCGGGGUCAUGUCAUGGUCCUGGGUCAUGACAUGGUCCUGGGUCAUGACAUGGUCCGGGGUCAUGUCAUGGUCCGGGGUCAUGUCAUGGUCCAGGGUUGCUGAGCCGGCGUUUUGUUUCCUUUUGAUUUCAUCUUGUGUUUGGUGUUUAUUCUGAUUUUGAAUUCGUUCUUAGGGUUUGGUUCUUAUGUUUAGUGCUUCCGUGUUUUAUCAGCCCUGCCUGUGUCUGUGUGUUUCCUGUUUUACUUUGAAGGUUUGUGUCUCGUCUUGUGCUUCAGCUGUGCUCCCCUCCUGUGUGUCAUUCCCUCAUUACCUCGUGUGUAUUUAUAGUGUGUGUCUGCCUGUGUUCCUUGUUGCGUUACCUGCAUUACUCUGUGUGUCUCCACGUCUCUCUGUGUUUCCCUGCUGCCCUCAUGUUUUCUGCUUUGUCUGUUAGUUUUUGCAGUUUAGCUUUAUGUUCGCUUCUUCACCUUUGUUAUUUUCACUGUAAAUAAAUCUCCACUCGCAUCUCCACCGCCGUCUGCAUCUUGGGUCCUCAUUCAUUCCACCACACGACUGCUGCCCCAGCCGUGACAACUGUUGAUGUUUCCUCCACAUUUACCUUUAAGAACUAUUAAUUUUGCCUUGUUUGG
rnacentral:lncRNA from 1 species